GGAAAAAAAAAAUUGAAGAUGCUUAUAAUCUGUUGGAGCGAAUUGCUUGUGGUCAAAUGAGAGGGUGAUUUAAGGAGACUAGAUAGAGUGCUUGAUGCAUUAAGCAUGAUUGAUGUUAAACUCAAUGCAUUAACAAGGGACUUAGAUAAGUUGAGUAUCAAUGUAGUUAGAUCUAGCCAUUCUGUUUGUGACUAGUGUGGUGGAGGACAUCCAAGUUCUAAAUGUAAUUAUUCUCAUGAUCCUUCUUUGGAAUAGAUGAAUUAUGUGAAUAAUAAUGGUCCAAUCAGAGAAUUUAGAGGAAUUACUUAUUUAAACACUUAUAAUCCUAGAUGGAGGAACCACCCAAACU
rnacentral:misc_RNA from 1 species